GUUUACCCAGAGGAUGAGGAGCAGCUAUGAGGGGAAGUGGAAGCUGCAUUGCAGAUCCAGCAAUAAAUUAAGGCAUAUCAAGGCAGGCUGUCAUCACUUUUAAGAACCUAUCAAGAGAGAAAGAAGUCUCUGUCAAUGUUCCUUCUUCACAUUUAGUUGAUUUUAACAAUCAGUAUGCAAUGCAAACCAUCAUCUCUGAGACCAUGACACCCAGGACAGCACCGGUCGAUGUUAUGGGAUUUUAGUACAGUUUGAUGGGUUCUGUGGCAGCUUAUUAGAUCCUUUCCCACUUUGAGGGCAACUGAUGAAGACAAUCAAAAUCAUCUGAUAUUCUUAAUA